rnacentral:rRNA from 1 species
GCGCGAAAACUUUACAAUGCGAGAAAUCGUGAUAAGGGAACCCCGAGUGCCCGUAAAUUCGGGCUGUCCAUCAGUGCAAAAAACUGGUGAAGAAAGAGCCGGGCAAGACCGGUGCCAGCCGCCGCGGUAAUACCGGCGGCUCGAGUGGUGGCCACUAUUACUGGGCUUAAAGCGUCCGUAGCUUGGUUGUUAAGUCUCCUGGGAAAUCCAUCGGCUCAACCGAUGGGCGUUCAGGAGAUACUGGCAACCUAGGGACCGGGAGAGGUGAGAGGUACUCCAGGGGUAGGAGUGAAAUCCUGUAAUCCUUGGGGGACCACCUGUGGCGAAGGCGUCUCACUAGAACGGCUCCGACAGUGAGGGACGAAAGCUGGGGGAGCAAACCGGAUUAGAUACCCGGGUAGUCCCAGCUGUAAACGAUGCGCGUUAGGUGUAUCGGUGACCACGAGUCACCGAGGUGCCGAAGGGAACCGUGAAACGUGCCGCCUGGGAAGUACGGUCGCAAGGCUGAAACUUAAAGGAAUUGGCGGGGGA